ensembl:lncRNA
ACCAGGUAUAACAGUGGUAAGGUGUUGGGACUCUGCUGAUAACCAGGUCUAACAGUGGAAAGGUGUUGGGACUCUGCUGAUAACCAGGUGUAACAGUGGUAAGGUGUUGGGACUCUGCUGAUAACCAGGUGUAACAGUGGUAAGGUGUUGGGACUCUGCUGAUAACCAGGUGUAGCAGUGGUAAGGUGUUGGGACUCUGAUAACCAGGUGUAACAGUGGUAAGGUGUUGGGACUCUGCUGAUAACCAGGUGUAACAGUGGUAAGGUGUUGGGACUCUGUUGAUAACCAGGUGUAACAGUGGUAAGGUGUUGGGACUCUGCUGAUAACCAGGUAUAACAGUGGUAAGGUGUUGGGACUCUGCUGAUAACCAGGUGUAACAGUGGUAAGGUGUUGGGACUCUGCUGAUAUCCAGGUGUAACAGUGGUAAGGUGUUGGGACUCUGCUGAUAACCAGGUGUAUCAG